CAGUCGCCGCGGGAAUACGGAGGGGGCUAGCGUUGUUCGGAAUUACUGGGCGUAAAGCGCACGUAGGCGGCUUGGUAAGUCAGGGGUGAAAUCCCGAGGCUCAACCUCGGAACUGCCUUUGAUACUGGGUAUCUUGAGUCCGAGAGAGGUGAGUGGAACUCCUAGUGUAGAGGUGAAAUUCGUAGAUAUUAGGAAGAACACCAGUGGCGAAGGCGGCUCACUGGCUCGGAACUGACGCUGAGGCGCGAAAGCGUGGGGAGCAAACAGGAUUAGAUACCCCCGUAGUCCCUGUCUCUUAUAC
rnacentral:rRNA from 1 species